rnacentral:tRNA from 1 species
GAGCCAUUAGCCCAGCGAGUAGAGGCAACGCUCUCAAAAAGCGUCCAGGGCGGGUGCAAAUCCUGCAUGGCUCACUA